GAAAAUGAAACUGGGCAGUGGGCCCAAAGUACGGAAGUCCGAAAAUGUUCAUAGGUGAUCGGGGCGAUGCGAUGGGCACAGACAAACACUUCUGCUCCGAGAUACAAAGGUAGAACGGAAGUGUAAGAGGUUGUUUUCGGUUUAACAGUGUUACAAAGAUAAUUUGACAAGUCAGCUUCUCGUCCUGUCGAUAAUGGUUAGCCUUGGCCCGUCUAGAGGCCAAAGACAAACAGUGCCUUCAGGAUUUGCUUUCCAGCACACAAGUGACAGGGAAUCUGUCCGUAGUGAAGAUGUUGAUUUGCUUACCGAAAGCAAUUAUAUUAUUUCUUCACAUAAUAGAUGUCAUGUCAUGUGUUUGUUUCUACCAUGGAUUGCUGGCUUUGAAGCUCUGUUAUUGGUGGCAUAUGAAGUCUUUGUUUUCGUCUUCGCAAAUGUUUUGGAACUGAGUGAG